ACGAACUUUGGUGCCAUCGCCAUCGACCUCACGCCGACUUUGUCUCUCUAUUCGUGUACUACCGUUCAGCCCACCCGUUUUCGUUGCCAAAAUUGCACGACGGCCAAACAAAUCAACGUUUCAUCGAGCGUGAGAAUAGUGGCGCCCUCUUUUUCUCCCAACUGUCAGUCGUGCAAUGAGAGACGGAGAGCAUACAGACUCUGUUUUUCUCCGAAUUCGAUGUCCGUUGCUAUUUCCAGAAGGUCGUUUUUUGUUUUUGUUUAGUAUAGUUACAUCUUAGGGACUUGUUUUCUUUGAUGAUUUGACAUCAGUUUAGAUUUUUGUUUUUCUUUUACCUUUUUAGUUGGUCUCGUUUAAGAAAGGGAGACGAAUGAUACGCAAUUCUAACUGCAACUCGAAAAGUAAAGAAAAAUGUACACGCACGCAGAUAAAAAGGGGAGGGGGGGAGAGGAAAACGAAUGCAAGACUUGUGUUCGUGCCAUUUCGGUUCAUUCAACCGCUUCGUUCUAAUUUGUCUCCAUCCAAAGUGACCUUCUCUUUUUCUCGGUGUUUUCUUCUUAACUUUGCGCUACUACACGCCAUGUGUGUGUGUGUGUGUGUUACAAGUAUCCGGGGGUAUUUUUCAUUCCACUUCUUCUUCUUUUUUUUUUUUCUUUCUUGAGUUCAAAAAAAAAAAAAUUAUAAUAAAAGUCUAAACGUUUUCCGCGUCUUAUUACGUACGUAUCUUGCCACUGACAGUACUUUACCAACAACAUACAAAUAUAAGGUCUAAACAGAAAACAUGUAUUUAAAAAAAAAAGAAGAAAAAAAGACGACGAUUCAUUCGGAAUAAGGAUGUCAAACGAGAAAAACGGAGGGAAAACUGAAUUAAAGGCUUUCUAUAUAUAGCAAAUAUGCAGAUACCGGAGACACAGCGUUGUAUGGUCGCCAUGAUUGUGAACCAGGUGUGCGUGAGCUACCGAUUAAAAAAAAAACUCGAGGAUAAAUAAUAUCAAGUGAUUUU